GCUGGGUGUGGUGACGCACACCUGUAAUCCCCGCAGCUCUGGAGGCUGAGGCAGGAGGAUUGUGAGUUCAAAGCCAGCCUCAGCAAAGUCGAGGCGCUAAGUAACUCAGUGAGACCCUGUCUCUA
rnacentral:sRNA from 1 species